rnacentral:lncRNA from 1 species
UGAUUCUGCAAAAUACUAGACAAAAUUCAUGAAACUACAUAUACUUACAGCAAUAUUUUUAGUGUUAAGAACAUAUAUAUACUUACCUAAUGAAACUUUUCUUUUCUAGAAUUAUGUUUCACCCUAAGUCAUAUGUAUGUUUCUUUUGAUUAUUGCAUGUUAUGUUUAACAAGCUAAUAGCAAAAUAAAACAUAGCAAAUGGCAUCACUAUGUUUGAUUUCUUGUGAAAUUCAUAUCUCUCAGUAAAAAUAGAUAAAAUAAUAGAUUAGAAUUUUAAAAUCUCUAGCCUGAAAUAUGUUGCUUAUGUUAAAUAGAAUUUUUCAUUAACUAGAUUAUCUGCUUAGAGCAUCCACUUGUAAAGACUGUUUAAAUACAUCUUACAAUAUGUACUUAAAAGUGUGCAAAUCCCAGGUGUAUCCUAUAAUCUAACUCAGUUCUGACACCAUGUGCCUAAAGAUGGGGUCAGAUUGUCCAGGCUAAAGGUUCAGUCCUACAGGAAUGCCUUCCCUCCACACUCAUAUGCCAAUUAAAAGCCCAAGUUGUUACAUGUUCUUCUGAGCAACUGGCUAUAAAUCAGAGGUUCCCAAGCCCCUCUCCUAGACUUGAGGAAUAUGCUAGAGUGGCUCACAGAACAGGAAAGCUCUUUACUCACUAGAUUAUUCAUUUACUAUAAAAUGGUACAAUUCAGGAACAGCUAGAUAGAAGAGGUGCAAGGCAAGGUAUGGGGACAGGGUGCUAAGCUUUCAUGCCUUCUCCAAGCACAGACACACACACACACACACACACCUGACAAGAAACUUAAUGCCUUAUUUGUAAAUUUAGUGGUUUUUCAUCUCUACUGUCAAAUGAUGUGAAAAGCUUUUCACUGGUUUCAUGAACGUCAGUCAAGUUUUAUAAUUUCUAAAUCUUAACUUAAUGUGCCAAAAAGCAUGGAUUACAUGCAUAUGGAUGUUUACAGUCCUGAAGCAAAUUAUCUCAAUGCUCAAAUGUUCACAUUUCAAUGUUCAAAUUUGUUUAGCUGAAAAAUAGAGAACAAAAAUUUACAGAGUAUUUUGCUUGAUCAGUCUGA